rnacentral:SRP_RNA from 13 species
AGGACGGGAAUGCAGCAGCCAUAA